rnacentral:rRNA from 1 species
AUGUCGUCCAGCGCCUCCGAGAUCGUCGCCGACACGACGCACGGGCGCCACCACCUGAAGAUCGACGGCUACUCGAUCACCAAGGCCACCCUGCCCACGGGGGAGUUCCUCAAGUCCCAGCCUUUCUCCGUCGGCGGCCGCCGCUGGGCCAUCCAGUACUACCCCAACGGCGACCCGUCCUCGCACAAGGGCCACAUCUCCCUCCACCUCGUCCUCGACGACGCCGUCGCCGGAGAGGUGCGCGCGCAGGUCCAGUUCCGCUUUAAGGCCGAAAAGAAGCACGCGCUCUCCUUUCUCCAGAGCUGGGGCCGUAAGCCCGCGCCGCUGAAGCUCGGCAGGGUGGAGGCCGGCGAAGAUGGCGUCUGGGAGUGCCCGAAUUUCGUCAAGAGGAAGACCCUGGAGGAAUCGGACCAUCUCAAGGACGAUUCCUUCACCAUCCGCUGCGACAUCAUCGUCGUCAACGAGUUCCGCGCCGAUGGGGGCCCGCCGCCGGCCCCCGCGCCAAGAUCCGUCCCUGUGCCCCCGUCCGACCUUGGCCAGCAGCUCGGCGACCUCCUCGCGGCCGACAAGGGCGCCGACGUCGUCUUCGAGGUCGGCGGCGAGACGUUCGCCGCGCACCGGUGGCUGCUCGCGGCCCGGUCGCCGGUCUUGAGCGCGGAGCUCUUCGGCUCGAUGAGGGAGGGCGGCGCCGCCGGCGCGGUCCGCGUGGCCGACAUGGAGGCGCAGGUCUUCAAGGCGCUGCUCCGCUUCAUGUACACGGACUCGUGGCCGCUGGAGACGGCGGAAGAAGAGGAAUUCGCCAUGGCCCAGCAUCUGCUCGUGGCGGCCGACAAGUACCGCAUGGAGAGGCUCAAGCUGAUCUGCGAGGACAAGCUGUGCAAGAACAUCGCGGCGGGCACGGCGGCGAGCAUCCUGGCGUUAGCUGAGGUGCACCACUGCCAUGAGCUCAAAGGCGCAUGCUUCCAUUUCCUCAGCUCUCCGAAGAACCUGACGGCAGCCAUGGCCGGCGACGACUUCGAGAAUCUGCGCUCAAGCUUCCCCUCUAUUGUCAAGGAGCUGAUUGCCAAGUGCUCGAUCGAUGCCCCAGCUCAGUAA